CCUACGGGUGGCAGCAGUGGGGAAUAUUGGACAAUGGGGGGAACCCUGAUCCAGCCAUGCCGCGUGUGUGAAGAAGGCCCUCGGGUUGUAAAGCACUUUCAGUGAGGAAGAACGCCUGGUGGUUAAUACCCAUCAGGAAAGACAUCACUCACAGAAGAAGCACCGGCUAACUCCGUGCCAGCAGCCGCGGUAACACGGAGGGUGCGAGCGUUAAUCGGAAUUACUGGGCGUAAAGCGCGCGUAGGUGGCUUGAUAAGCCGGUUGUGAAAGCCCCGGGCUCAACCUGGGAACGGCAUCCGGAACUGUCAAGCUAGAGUGCAGGAGAGGAAGGUAGAAUUCCCGGUGUAGCGGUGAAAUGCGUAGAGAUCGGGAGGAAUACCAGUGGCGAAGGCGGCCUUCUGGACUGACACUGACACUGAGGUGCGAAAGCGUGGGUAGCAAACAGGAUUAGAUACCCGGGUAGUC
rnacentral:rRNA from 1 species